rnacentral:lncRNA from 1 species
GAGAUUUCUACAGAGUCACCCUCAUGAUAGCUUAGCUAGUGUUGGUAAAAUUCCCUUUUGAUAAAGGUGUAAGCUUUCUGACUUUAAACUCUGGCUUUACCAAAAUCUGUGUUUCCCCCAAAUCUACCUUUACAUAGGAGAGCCUCCAGGUGCAAUAACAAACCUCUUGAUUUCCUUCCACAAAAGUGACCACAAAAGCAUCAUUAUGUGUUCAUUGGUGUCUUUUAUGAGGCAGAUGUCUUUGUUAAAGCAUCUUUAAUAGGUUGUGUAUAAUGUUUUUUUCAAUUUUGGAGACCUGUUGGAUGAGUCCAGAGGGACCCUUCCAGACUGACAUGGCUGAAGGUUGAUGUGAUUUCUAUAAUAGAACAUUUUCUGCAACAAUUUCUCUCAUGUUCAUAGAAAAGACCACUUAAAAAUAGAGCCUGGUAUAUAGUAACUUUAAAGCAUUUAAGUGACAUGAGAAUAGACUGCAUGUGUGGUGUGACAAGUGUGGCAAGCCUGGUGCCCUCAGAGAGAAUCUUCAUUUAUUUUCUCUAUAUGAGUACCUGGUAAGGGGGACGGGGUUAGAGCAGUGUGGCAUUGGGGGGAGGAGGUAAUUCAACUUGAUAAAUAUGCUGACUUUUCAGCAAAGCUGAGUCUGUCUUUCUGUGACCAGGAGUAACAGCCUGGACAUGAAAGAGAGGGGUUGCCAAUAGAUUGCCAAUCUCUUCCUGUUGAAAAAGUGUGCAAGUAUUGACUACGUUUUAAGCAAACCAAGAAUAAUUACAUAGCAAUAUAGCAUUCCUAUGUUUACAAAAAACACAGUGACUCAUGGCUAUGUUAUUUAAACAUAGCAGAGAACCUUUGUACAUUUCUUAUUAAAAUAUGCAAUUAACUAAUUAACAUAACUUUAGUAUCUUUUCUAGCUUGGUGCCAGUACCAUGUAUUUUGGUUUUACACAUUUGAUAGUUUUGCUCGAAAUAUAUUUAUCUGACAUCAUACAAAUGGAUAAAAGUAAUAUGGACAUUCUCCACCAAACUCUACAUGGUUUCUUACAAAGGGCUGGCGAUAUUAUUAGCUUCAUUGAGUUCUAAGACCUUUAUUCUGUCAAGUACAGGGCAGAGUCUUGUUUUGCUCUCCUGUUAGACAAGUUUCUGUUGAUCAAAGAAUAAAAAUCACCACAACCUUGAAAUGUGGGCUUACAUGUGUUCCACCUUCUCAUGAAAAUUUACAGGUCAGAUGGUCACAGGGGAAAAUUACAGGCUGUGAGCAAAUUUUGAGUCUUCCCUUAGGGGAUGGAAUCUAUUAAAGUCACAGGAACCUUACCUAAUACCUGGGAAAAUCAACAGAGACCCAAAAUUAAUCUGCUGGGCCUGGAGGCACAUGGUUGUGUUACACUCAGUUUAGGAUCUCAUCUACUGUGUCUGAAAUGUUGAUUAUGUUAAUAUACUGAGUUAAGGAAUUAGAACAGACCUUAUAUUGUAAUUUAAAUAAGCAUCUACAACCUGAAUAAUUAUUAUAGAAAGUAUCAAACUACUGGUAAUUUGCUACUAGAUUAAGUUUCUCCUAUUCUUUAGAUUAAGGCCUGACAACUCUGGAAUGUGAUAUCAUUAGUGUUUACUACUUAUAAAGGUUAAUUUUAUAUUUAAUUAUGUGUGUGUUUAUGUGUGUAUACAUAGGCAUGGAGGCAAGGAGAGGGUUUUGGAUCUCUGAGAGCUGGAGUUGUGUGUAGUUUAGAGUCACUUGGGGCUGGGAAGGAAACUCGGGUCCUCUGUAAGAGCUAUGCACACCCAUAGCAGCUGUGACAUCUCUCCAGCUCCAAGUGUUUAGCAUUUGUAGGAUCUCACUAUGGACUACACACUUAGUUUCUUCACUAGACUUUGACCUCUAUAUACAUGAAAUAGGAACAGAAAGACUGACUCUCCUAAGACCAAUGUGAAGUUUCAACACUGUUAUAGCAAUGCUUAGGCUUUUCCUCACCACAAGCUUGAAGCCAAAUGUGAUAUCACUGGUCCUGUCAUUAAUGCUGAUGUGGGAGGAGAGAGCUCUGUGCCUGUUGGCAUUCUUGUAAGAGCAUAUUUGUACACAAACACACAAAUUCAUCCAUGGAAAUGUGCAAAUUUCAAUGUGAAAAAAAAUGGAACCCCAGGACUAAGGUACCAUCUUGCCGACCAGGGAUUGAAUAUGUAUCAUGGUUGGGAAGUUCAGAUCAUCUCAGCCAUAGAAAGGUCCUGGCUUCCAGAGAACUCUUAGGUACUCAUGUAGUCCAGAUACAUUGAUGAUUAUUGUCUCUUGGGUUUGCUAUAAAGGAAUUAUUUCCCAAGGAGGUAAGGUGAGCAUGCCAAUACCACUGUGAAAAUAGCCUCUGUUAUUCAUCAGUGGCCACAGAACCUACCAAAAUGUGUCUUAGAGACCCAGAACAACUUCGCGGGGGUCACCAUGUAGAAUUAUGCCAUGUUUAUUCUUUCAUAAGUAAAGACCAGAACCAAAAUAGACAUUAUACAGACAAUAACAGUCAAACAUUAUUUUUCUAACUCAAAUGAAUUCCCGAUGAGCCUAGUUAUAUGCAAUGUGUUCCUCUCAUGUCUUCUCCAAUUUAUUUGUAAUGAAGUUAUACCAUGCCUCUCCAUUUUGCCUGAGUAAAACUCUGCU